rnacentral:tRNA from 1 species
UGGUGGGUAGCCAAGUGGUAAGGCGCUUAAUAUCCUUAUUCACCUCUUGCCUGCAAAGGCCGAAGAAUUGAGGGUUAUCGUAUGCAAAACGAGCGAUCGCGGGUUCGACUCCCGCCCCACUAC